rnacentral:rRNA from 1 species
UUCCGGUUGAUCCUGCCGGACCUGACUGCUAUCGGAUUGAUACUAAGCCAUGCGAGUCAUUGUAGCAAUACAAGGCAGACGGCUCAGUAACGCGUAGUCAACCUAACCUAUGGACGGGAAUAACCUCGGGAAACUGAGUAUAAUGCCCGAUAGAACAUUAUGCCUGGAAUGGUUUAUGUUCCAAAUGAUUUAUCGCCGUAGGAUGGGACUGCGGCCUAUCAGUUUGUUGGUGAGGUAAUGGCCCACCAAGACUAUUACAGGUACGGGCUCUGAGAGGAGUAGCCCGGAGAUGGGUACUGAGACACGGACCCAGGCCCUAUGGGGCGCAGCAGGCGAGAAAACUUUGCAAUGUGCGAAAGCACGACAAGGUUAAUCCGAGUGGUUUCUGCUAAAGGAACCUUUUGUUAGUCCUAGAAACACUAACGAAUAAGGGGUGGGCAAGUUCUGGUGUCAGCCGCCGCGGUAAAACCAGCACCUCAAGUGGUCAGGAGGAUUAUUGGGCCUAAAGCAUCCGUAGCCUGUUCUAUAAGUUUCCGGUUAAAUCCAUUAGCUCAACUAAUGGGCCGCCGAAAAUACUGUAGAACUAGGGAGUGGGAGAGGUAGACGGUAUUUGGUAGGAAGGGGGUAAAAUCCUUUGAUCUAUUGAGGACCACCUGUGGCGAAGGCGGUCUACCAGAACACGUUCGACGGUGAGGGAUGAGAGCUGGGGGAGCAAACCGGAUUAGAUACCCGGGUAGUCCCAGCUGUAAACGAUGCAGACUCGGUGAUGCGCUGGCUUGUGGCCAGUGCAGUGCCGCAGGGAAGCCGUUAAGUUUGCCGCCUGGGAAGUACGUACGCAAGUAUGAAACUUAAAGGAAUUGGCGGGGGAGCAC